AGGAACUCAGAUUACCUAAUUUACUCCGUGUGGUCUCCCGUUGACGUCUGCACGCGCUCUUGCUUGGUGUCUCCCGGCUAGACCGUGACUUUCAUCGUGGGCUUUACGGUUGACCACUGGCUUGUAGGCAGCUGCCAUUUGACUCUCACAACAACCCUGAGGAAGGUGCCACGAGAGGUUUUACAGCUGAGGAAACUGAGGCUGUCGAGUGACUUGAUCAGCAUCACACAGUAAAAACUGAAUCUGGGUCUUCUUGACUCCCAGUCCAUUACCGUCUCUUCUCUACCAGUGAUGUCAGACCCUGUGGGCCACAUAUUGGCUCAGAAAAUAUGUUACCAUUCUCUGUGUCUGUCGUAUUUUUGUUUAUUGUGUUAAGCAUUUCCCAAUUACUUUUUAAUCUGGGGGGUUUUGUGAGUGCAUGUGUGCUACCUCUGCUCUAUUUUCCUCAUCCUCUCAGUGAAAACUGUGAGCCAAAGUGCCACAUUCCUUCACACAUCAAUGUGAGCAUGGCCUUCAGCAGCUCAGAUUGCCACCACUCUGCAGGUCAAUAGACGGUCUUUAGGAGUCAAGGCAGCUGAAAACUGUACCACCACCACCCCACCCACCCCCAGCCAACCUAGUCAGUAGAUAGUAAACAUUUAUGAAGCACCUA